rnacentral:rRNA from 1 species
GAGCGAACAGACGAGGAGCUUGCUCCUCUGACGUUAGCGGCGGACGGGUGAGUAACACGUGGAUAACCUACCUAUAAGACUGGGAUAACUUCGGGAAACCGGAGCUAAUACCGGAUAAUAUAUUGAACCGCAUGGUUCAAUAGUGAAAGACGGUUUUGCUGUCACUUAUAGAUGAUCCGCGCCGCAUUAGCUAGUUGGUAAGGUAACGGCUUACCAAGGCAACGAUGCGUAGCCGGCCUGAGAGGGUGAUCGGCCACACUGGAACUGAGACACGGUCCAGACUCCUACGGGAGGCAGCAGUAGGGAAUCUUCCGCAAUGGGCGAAAGCCUGACGGAGCAACGCCGCGUGAGUGAUGAAGGUCUUCGGAUCGUAAAACUCUGUUAUUAGGGAAGAACAAAUGUGUAAGUAACUAUGCACGUCUUGACGGUACCUAAUCAGAAAGCCACGGCUAACUACGUGCCAGCAGCCGCGGUAAUACGUAGGUGGCAAGCGUUAUCCGGAAUUAUUGGGCGUAAAGCGCGCGUAGGCGGUUUUUUAAGUCUGAUGUGAAAGCCCACGGCUCAACCGUGGAGGGUCAUUGGAAACUGGAAAACUUGAGUGCAGAAGAGGAAAGUGGAAUUCCAUGUGUAGCGGUGAAAUGCGCAGAGAUAUGGAGGAACACCAGUGGCGAAGGCGACUUUCUGGUCUGUAACUGACGCUGAUGUGCGAAAGCGUGGGGAUCAAACAGGAUUAGAUACCCUGGUAGUCCACGCCGUAAACGAUGAGUGCUAAGUGUUAGGGGGUUUCCGCCCCUUAGUGCUGCCAGCUAACGCAUUAA